rnacentral:rRNA from 1 species
CAAAUCUAGCCCAAAAAUAACCCUAUCAAAACAAAACAAAAUAAAAUAAAACAUUUACCCCUUAACCCUAAAGUAUAGGAGAUAGAAAUUUUAAGACUGGCGCUAUAGAGAAAGUACCGUAAGGGAACGAUGAAAGAAAAAAAUCAAAGUAUAAAAAAGCAAAGAUUACCCCUUGUACCUUUUGCAUAAUGAAUUAACUAGCACAAAACUUAACAAAACGAAUUUUAGCUAAGUAACCCGAAACCAGACGAGCUACUCAUGAACAGUUUAUCAAGAACCAACUCAUCUAUGUGGCAAAAUAGUGAGAAGAUUUAUGAGUAGAGGUGACAUGCCUAACGAGCCUGGUGAUAGCUGGUUGUCCAGAAAAUGAAUCUUAGUUCAGCUUUAAAGAUACCAAAAAUUUAAACAAAUCCUAAUGUAUCUUUAAAAGUUAGUCUAAAAAGGUACAGCCUUUUAGAUAAAGGAUACAACCUUAAAUAGAGAGUAAGACCUAAAAUACACCAUAGUAGGCCUAAAAGCAGCCACCAAUUAAGAAAGCGUUAAAGCUCAACAAUAAAACCAACAAAAAUUCCAAAGAGCAAGCAACCAACUCCUAACCCCAAUACUGGACUAAUCUAUUACAAAAUAGAAGCAAUAAUGUUAAUAUGAGUAACAAGAAACAUUUUCUCCCCGCAUAAGUUUAAGUCAGUAGCUGAUAAUACCCUGACUAUUAACAGUUAAUAAAAACAACCCAACAAUUAACAAUUUAUUAACUACACUGUUAAUCCAACACAGGAAUGCAUUCAAGGAAAGAUUAAAAGAAGUAAAAGGAACUCGGCAAA